GAUGAACGCUGGCGGCGUGCCUAAUACAUGCAAGUCGAGCGAACAGAUGAGGAGCUUGCUCCUCUGACGUUAGCGGCGGACGGGUGAGUAACACGUGGAUAACCUACCUAUAAGACUGGGAUAACUUCGGGAAACCGGAGCUAAUACCGGAUAAUAUAUUCAACCGCAUGGUUCAAUAGUGAAAGACGGUUUUGCUGUCACUUAUAGAUGGAUCCGCGCCGCAUUAGCUAGUUGGUAAGGUAACGGCUUACCAAGGCAACGAUGAGUAGCCGACCUGAGAGGGUGAUCGCCCACACUGGAACUGAGACACGGUCCAGACUCCUACGGGAGGCAGCAGUAGGGAAUCUUCGGCAAUGGGCGAAAGCCUGACGGAGCAACGCGGCGUGAGUGAUGAAGGUCUUCGGAUCGUAAAACUCUGUUAUUAGGGAAGAACAAAUGUGUAAGUAACUAUGCACGUCUUGACGGUACCUAAUCAGAAAGCCACGGCUAACUACGUG
rnacentral:rRNA from 1 species